rnacentral:lncRNA from 1 species
UUUCUCACUCCACUUGAGCUCUCUCUCUAACAUGAUCAUCAGGCGCGAAACAAUGGUGAAGUAAAAAAAAAAAAACAGAGAUGCUUGCUCUCUUCCUCUCUUCUUCUUCUUCGUACCUCACACUCUCCAGAUCCGUAACUCUCCACCUAUCCCGACGAACAACACUCUCAUCUCUCACAAUGUCGACGAACCUAAGAACUCACGCCUACGCAGGCAACCCCUUGAAAUCAAAAACCCCAAAAUCCACCGACACCUUCUCACCUUCCUCCGCCUUCGAAUCCCUCAAAGUCCUGAUCCCGCUAAUCCCAAACCACCCCGCGCCUUCCCCUGAUUUCAAAGUCCUUCCCUUCAGCAAAGGCCGCCCGCUGGUGUUCUCCAGCGGCGGCGGAGACGCUUCCACCACGACGCCUAUCUGGCACCUGGGGUGGAUCAGCUUGUCUGAUUGCAAGGGUAUGCUGGCGAGCCGCGGGGUUGAUAUGGACGAGGACUCGCUUGUGUAUUUAGGACCCAAGGUGGAGGAAGAUUUGGUGUGUUGGGCUGUUGAUGUGUCUGAAGAAGGAGACGGCGUCGUUUCGGGGUUGGAAAGUAGGAAGCUUUGUUUCGUCGAGCUGAGGACUUUGAUGGUGGCUGCUGAUUGGGUGGAUCAGCGCGCUAUGGAUGAGUUGGCUAUUGCAGGACAUGUAUGUGAGCUGCUCUCUUUUAAAGUGCAUUUCAUCAUCUUUAUCAUAAUGCUUAAGUUGUCUUGUUUCUGUGGCAGGCCAGGGCAUUGCUUGAGUGGCACAAUGUAUCAAGAUUCUGUGGGUCUUGUGGAGGUGCAAAUGUUCCAAAGGAGGCUGGAAGAAGAAAGCAAUGUUCAAACAAGGCUUGCGGAAAGCGGGUUUAUCCCCGGGUUGACCCGGUAUGUAUUGAUCCUCAAGAGUAUGAGUUGCUUUGCAGAACUUCUGGCUGAUUGAUUUUUCCUUUACCAGGUGGUUAUAAUGUUAGUUAUUGAUCGAGAGAAUGAUCGUGCGCUUUUAAGUAGACAGUCUCGAUAUGUACCUAGAAUGUGGAGUUGUUUAGCUGGAUUUAUUGAGGUAUAGAAGCUCUCUCACUGCUAAGUUAUUUGUUUUAUAUGUGUAUUGUUACCUAUGCUGCUUUUGCUUAGGCAGGGGAAAGUUUAGAAGAGGCUGUGAGGCGAGAAACAUGGGAAGAGACAGGCAUUGAAGUAGGAGACGUUGUUUAUCACAGCUCUCAGCCUUGGCCUGGUAAAUUGACUUGUUAUAAUUGGUGUACUAGUUGUAUCAUUUAGCUUGUCUUUGUUAGCUCGUGGUUUACAUAGUCUCGUUAGCUAAUGUUCAAUGCAUGCAUCCUGUAGAGUCAUAUUAAUGAGAAAUUUUACUCGUCUGGCAGAUAAAAAUUGAGGGUAACCUAUAUUAUGUAUUGAUUAGAACAUUAUUUUUUCUUUGAAGAUUAAGAUAUUUAGUCUUGUAUCAUGUUGAUGGGGGUUUGAUCUCUUCGUUUGUGGCUUUUUUUGACCUGCAAAUUUAACAGAACGAUGAUAUGCUUGUCUUAAACUGCAGUGGGACCAAGUAGCACGCCAUGCCAGCUGAUGUUGGGGUUCUUUGCUUUCGCCAAGACUCUUGACAUAAACGUAGACAAGGAAGAGUUAUUUAUUUUUUUUUUUUGAAUUAAUGGAAUUUUAAGUUUUUUUAUUCAAAAAAACUUUUUUUUUUUUUUUUUUUUUUUACAAUGAAAGCCUCUAUAGUUUGAAGAAACUUAAUUCAUCUUUGCAAUGGUAUGAAGGUUUGAUGUCUCUCUGGCACUAGAAGUCGUCGCCUACUUUAUUUAGUAGUAGUUUAUUUGUUUGUACAUGACACAUAAAGUUAAGAGAAGCAGCUUUUGUGGACUUUACCUAUACUGCAGCAUAUAUGUUUGGUGUUUUGUUGUCUUAUAUCGAUCAUUCAUUCCAUAAGAAUUGAGCUAAUGUGACUUUGAGAUAAACCAUACAAAACACACGUGAUAUUCAAGCAGCCUCAUAGACGUUAUUUAUACUGGAAUGGAACAUUUAAAAUUAGACGAGAGUCCAAACGCACGUAAGGCAACUCAAAACCCAAAGCAAAAUCGGUAUGUAAUGUAAAUAAGCACAAUUUAUGACCAAGGACUGGACAAAACAGGCUGUUUCAACAUUGUUUUGUGGAAUUUUAGUUUGUCUGAAUAGUAACUAAUUAUAGUACGAUAGACAUGAACAUAACACAAAAGUACAAAACCAAUGUGAGUAGAGUCACAAAGCCUUAACCACAUUUGGUCGGUUCAAAAGUAAACCGAAUCUCCCAAAUUCUAUUAUUAGGGUAAAGACUGAUCAAAACAAAAGACUUGGGCACAAAAGUGAAAAGAACCAAUAAUAAUGGGGCGAUAAAGAAAAUUAAAAGUUGCAAGCCACAUCAAAGUUUUUAUGGAUUGCUGCCGCUGAGCUCUGUAUCUUUUUGGUGGCUUCCUUGGACUUCUCCGUCGCCAGACCUUACCGAGUUACUCUCUCAGGUAAGAUCCGUCUCUGGCUCAUCCUGUUCGUUUCACCAAUUCCUUCCCAUCAAUAUAUCGUUUUGAUUUCGUUUUAUUUGUAAAGACAACGCCAAUUUUGUAUCUUUGUCGACCGAUCGAGACCUAAGUGUUUCGUCCCGAUGUAAUUUUCCGGCGAAAGUGUCCGAACUGUCUCUGUAUUUUAAUGAAUCGUCUCUGUUUACAAGUUUCUAGAGGUUAAUAGAUAGCUUGAAACAAAGGGAUGACAUUCAUGUCUUUUUAAAUGUUUUGGUCUCAGUUUUGAAGUUCUAAAAGGUUUAUUAUCUCUUUUGAUGUUUGGUUUGAACAAUGUGGUAUGUAAUUUCUGAUGGAAUCUAUGUGGUGUGUAAACUAAUUGAUGUGUUCCUUUUACUGCAGAGUUUUGCUUCUUCACAGCAUUGCUUGUCAUCCAACAAUGAGUCUCUCUGGUGCUGCUGCAGUUGGUUCAAGUUAGUGUCUUCCUCUUUUGUUUUGCGUUUUGAUUUGGUCUUGAGCGAGUGAAUAAUAGGGGAAAAUAAACUCUUUGUUGCAACGUUAUUUGCAGGCAGAAAUUUGAGGAAAGCGGUGGAGUUUGGGAAAACUCAUGUGGUUAGGCCCAAAGGGAAGCAUCAAGCUACUAUUGUCUGGCUACAUGGCCUUGGCGACAAUGGCUCCAGGUACUUGUUUUUGAAUGGUGGUGGAUACAUCCUAUACUCUAAUGUCUUGCAGUAACGAGUGUAAUCUAUGCUAUAGUGUUUAAGUUUAAGCCUUUUCCUUGUACCCUAGUUUUCUUUCAAGCGUUUUUUGGUGUUUUUUAUGCAAUGUCGCUUCACAAUCAGCUGAGACAUUUUUUGCUUUUAUUAAGCCAUAUUUUCUCCUGGAGACGGGAUACUAGCAAAGCAUGACAUGAUUCAUUUUUUUGAUUAAUACACAGUCAGUUUAAAAAGUUGGCAGUCAUGAUAUUAAAUCUCUUUUAAUUUUUGUGCUUACUGCAGCUGGUCCCAGAUUUUGGAGACCCUUCCUCUUCCGAAUGUGAGUUAUAGGAUUCAAGUGAUCUCCAGCAGUUGCCUUAAUUAUGUUAAGCGUGCUCAGUUACUUUACCUUUGGUCAAUAUUAACCCAUCUGUGUAUAUGUGAUGUAGAUCAAAUGGAUCUGCCCUACAGCUCCUUCUCAGCCAAUAAGUCUGUUUGGUGGUUUUCCCUCCACAGCUUGUAAGUUAUUUGCUACAUAGCAUUCGUCUUUUAUGCUAGUUAGUGGAAACUAUUACUAAUCAAAACAAAAGGGAAGUUAAAUAGAGUUGCAAUUUUAAUCAUGUUCUUGCGAAUGAAUGUGCCGACCAAACCCCAAUUUUCGUUUGAAAAAUUCGUAAUUGAUGAACGAAAGUUCGUCUAUAAGGCUCUAAGCAAAGUAGUCAACUGUAGUUGGCUUGUGGGCGAGAGUAUUAUUAGCCAACAUAUCGUUGGUUUGGUUCCACAUCACUAGACCAAAGAGUUCUAUUUUUUCUUUCUUAAUAAUAGGAAUCUCUAUGCAGAAGUUAAUCAUCAGACUCGUGCACGAAUAAUAAUUCUGAACAGUGAGUAUUUUGUGUGAGAAAAAAAGCUUUGAUGAGUUGGUAUACUGUAAUUUAUGCAGGGUUUGAUGUUGUGGACCUCACUGAGAAUGGGCCUGAUGAUGUAGAAGGACUGGAUGUGGCUGCCGCACAUGUUGCAAAUCUGUUGGCAAAUGAGCCUGCUGACAGUAAGUUUUCCUUCCAAAAACUUGCCUCUUCAUUCCCCUCCAUGUGGUCACUGAAAUAACUUUAUCUAUUCUCUAUAACCAUUCGAGUUCGACUAUAAUGAGUUGUUUUGGUUUCAUAUCGAACCCAAUUCUAAAAAAAGUGUGUUAUCUUUUAUUGCUUACAGUUAAGUUAGGUGUUGGAGGGUUCAGCAUGGGUGCGGGGACGUCUCUGUAUUCUGCGACUUGUUUUGCCCUUGGCAAAUAUGGAAAUGGCAAUCCUUACCCAAUCAAUUUAAGCGCAGUCAUUGGCUUAAGCGGGUGGCUUCCUUGUGCUAAGUAAGUCUCCUCUUUGUGCCAAAAGUCCUAACGUUCUUCUAGUUUUAUAAGAGCUUUGAUGGAUCUUUUCUUCUUCGAAGGACACUGACUGGUAAACUAGAAGAGGAGCAGAUCAAGAACCGAGCUGCAUCGUUACCCAUCUUAGUUUGUCAUGGAAAAGGUAACAAAGCAAGUUAUUAUUACCCUUGAACCUUUGAAAUGUUUCACCACUCAGUAUGCUGCUUCAUAUGCCAAACAAAUGAUCCAUGCUUUUAAUUUUUUAGUUCUUUUUUAAAAAUUUCAUCGUCCUCCUGUUCUUGUGCUUAUUCAUGUACCCCUCUUUGGUUUUCAGGUGAUGAUGUUGUACCGUUCAAGUUUGGGGAGAAAUCUUCACAGGCCUUGUUAUCACAUGGGUUUAAGAAGACGACCUUCAAAGCUUACGGUGCACUUGGUCACUACACAAUCCCACAGGAGACGGAGGAUGUAUGCGCGUGGUUGACAUCCACCCUCGGCCUCGAAGGUUGAAAAAGGCUUUUCAAUGAUUUGUCACUCUCUGAUGAGAAAAAAAACUCGUGAUUUUUCAUUGAUUUGGAUUUAAAUCUUUCGGAUUUUCAUUUUAAGAUGUUACAUUUGGGAUGUUUAAGACUUAAGUAGAUAAAUCUUGUCGUUUGGCCCUUCUAAACUCUGUCACCUGACCAUCGGUAGACUCAGUUAUGUUUGUUUUCUGGUGGUCGAUCGGAUAUUUAACAAAAAAAUAAUCAUUCCUUUUAAGGUUUUUGUUUCUUGAAAAGUAUGCCAAAAGUUAGUAAUAAAAUGAUUUUAACUAGAAAAUAUAAUUAAAAUUUAAUAGAUGGGUUAAUUGAUAAAGAAAUUUAACAGAACACUAUUUUUUUAUUUGAAUAUUAUUAAUUCAUUAAAAGUAGCCCGACGGUUACGCCUAACUAACUGCACAGUUUAAAAUGUGCGCGACUUCGAUCAGAAAAAAAAAAAUGUGCGCGACAUAAUUUGACACGUGUGCGCGACAUAACUCAACACGUGUUCGGACAAGACUUGUCUGAAUCAUCGUUUCCACUUUCUCACUCCACUUGAGCUCUCUCUCUAACAUGAUCAUCAGGCGCGAAACAAUGGUGAAGUAAAAAAAAAAAAACAGAGAUGCUUGCUCUCUUCCUCUCUUCUUCUUCUUCGUACCUCACACUCUCCAGAUCCGUAACUCUCCACCUAUCCCGACGAACAACACUCUCAUCUCUCACAAUGUCGACGAACCUAAGAACUCACGCCUACGCAGGCAACCCCUUGAAAUCAAAAACCCCAAAAUCCACCGACACCUUCUCACCUUCCUCCGCCUUCGAAUCCCUCAAAGUCCUGAUCCCGCUAAUCCCAAACCACCCCGCGCCUUCCCCUGAUUUCAAAGUCCUUCCCUUCAGCAAAGGCCGCCCGCUGGUGUUCUCCAGCGGCGGCGGAGACGCUUCCACCACGACGCCUAUCUGGCACCUGGGGUGGAUCAGCUUGUCUGAUUGCAAGGGUAUGCUGGCGAGCCGCGGGGUUGAUAUGGACGAGGACUCGCUUGUGUAUUUAGGACCCAAGGUGGAGGAAGAUUUGGUGUGUUGGGCUGUUGAUGUGUCUGAAGAAGGAGACGGCGUCGUUUCGGGGUUGGAAAGUAGGAAGCUUUGUUUCGUC